UUUGNUCNUGGCUUCCUNGGANUCCCGGANCNCUUGAAGUUGGUUCUUGGCAGGGAAGGAUCNCUAUUCUUUGAACAUUGGUUUUANANGUGGUGCAAAGUAAGGUAAGCNCGGAUUUGANUGCCGGAUAGCGGCGGACGGGUGAGUAACGCGUGGGCAACCUACCCUUAAGAGGGGGAUAACACCUCGAAAGGGGUGCUAAUACUGGAUAAGCUCCUUGUAGGGCAUCCUAUGAGGAGGGAAGGUAGCGGAAGCUACCGCUUAAGGAUGGGCCCGCGUCCCAUCAGCUAGUUGGUAGGGUAACGGCCUACCAAGGCGACGACGGGUAGCCGGCCUGAGAGGGUGGUCGGCCACACUGGGACUGAGACACGGCCCAGACUCCUACGGGAGGCAGCAGUGGGGAAUCUUGCGCAAUGGGCGAAAGCCUGACGCAGCGACGCCGCGUGAGCGAAGAAGGCCUUCGGGUCGUAAAGCUCGAUAGUGUGGGAAGAAUAGAUGACGGUACCACACGAAAGCCCCGGCUAACUACGUGCCAGCAGCCGCGGUAAGACGUAGGGGGCGAGCGUUGUCCGGAAUUACUGGGCGUAAGGGCGCGUAGGCGGCCACUUUAGUCANGUGUUAAAAACCCGGGCUCAACCCGGGGGNAUGCACAUGAAACUGGNUGGCUAGAGGGCAGGAGAGGGNAGUGNAAUUCCGGUGUANCGGUGAAAUGCGUAGAUUUCGGGAGAAUNCCANUGGCGAAAGCGACUCUCUGGACUGACCUNACCUNAGGCCCGAANCCGUGGGGAGNAAAAGANUUAAUCCCCUGGUUUCCCCCCGUAACGAAGGUACUAGUNGGGANUCGGACCUUCCCUGCNUNUUUACCAUUAUUCCCCCNGGGNUUCGCCCCAGUNAACCAAAGAAUUNGGGGCCCCAAGGGGAAUUUNUUUUCAACCCCAAACUCAGGUUUNUUUUUUUANGACAAUGNACNCGCCCUUGCUUUAAA
rnacentral:rRNA from 1 species